GUAUUCGUAGCCAAGUUUGGUAAGGCACCUGACUUUUAAUCAGGAGACUCGCAGAGUUCAAAUCUCGCCGGAUACA
rnacentral:tRNA from 1 species